rnacentral:lncRNA from 1 species
CCUCGGGGUAGGUGUGUCUGCCAUGCAAACAGGUUGCUCAUCUGCCACCAGGCCCCUAAUGAGCCCAACCCUCCUCUGAGCAGCUUGCUCCAACCCCAGCCCUGUUGUCAAGUCAGGCCCCUGCUCAUAAAACUCUCUCCAGUGAGCUGUGACACACAUGAAGGUACACAUUUACAGGGAAACCUGUAAAUCAGGGAAAUCGGGACAGCCCCACACCCCUUCUCAAGGCCACUUAAAGUAGCAAAGGUGCGGCACUGGACUCAGCCUUGCGUUGGUCUCUGCACAGACUCAGGUAAUCAUCGCUGGCCUGGGAGGACGCGGCCCUCGAAGAGUUUUGGAGCAUCUCCACACUUAGAUGUUCAAUGCCUCACGUCUACUGGGAGGUAUGUGAAGUCUUUGACCCCACUUCUCAGAUUGGAAACCAAGGCUGUGCAUUGAUGUUACUGGCCAAAGCCACAGAAUGUGGGCAGAAGUCAGACUCACCAGGGAGUUUUCCUCCAGUGUGAACAGCUUUUCCUCCUCUAAAGUUCCUUCUUAAAGGAAGCAGGGAAGGUUCAGCCCUACAUGGUGCCUACUUCUUAGCCUGACAAUGGGGUAUCCAGCGGGUGAAGCAGUUGAGAAGUGGGCAGUCGACCUUGGCUUUGCCCUCCUCCCCUGAUGUAGACCCCGAGGUGCCCCACUGAAGAUGCCUUUGGGAUGGAAAACAAGCUCUUUGAAGAUUGUUUCCCAAUUCUUACAUUUGAGGCCAGGAGGAAGUUCCGAGGUAGCCUAGAGCCCUGUCACUGUUACAAGAUUCCUUCCCAGAGGACUGGUCUACACAUCUGGGAGAAAACAGGCUUCAGAAACCAUCCACUCUGUGAUGGCUGCUCUGGCUUAUUGACGUGCAAUUGAUCUGACAUGCCUUAUUGGCAUGCAGCGGGUCAUUCCACACACCCCGAGUGCGGUGGCAGGCUGCAUAGCAUGCUUGGCACACUGCCCGGCACUCAGGACCCAUCUUUCAGGAAUUGGCCGGACGUGGGCAAAUAAAUUGGAUAUCUAUUGAUCAGCACUCCUGCCAAUAACUUGGAACAUCAUUUCCCAGUCAAUGAUUUCACAAAUGAAGACACUGCAAAAUAGUGUUCGUUGCCUGUCCACUGUAGGAACUGAUUCUAAAUGUUCACUUCAGUGUGCCUGCCAGAGGAAUACAAACCCGAUACGGGUGUACUGGCCACGCGUUGGAGAGACGAAAAGGCUUACUGAACAUUCUUAGUAAAUGUGCCAUUUGUUCCUGGUGGGUGAAGCAUUUCAUGAUUCAUGCAAUAUUGUAAAUUUUUAUUUUCUUUACAUAGACUUGGCUUUUAUUGUAAUUCCUACUCUUGGGGGAAGGUAAUAUGGAUUCAUCCAAGUUAAUAAAGCCUCUUGGAGAUAACAUCUCCAGGACUCAAGGCCAUUCUCAGGGUACAAUUAAGACAUUUGUUUGCUUGGUAUUCACCACGAAGAUCCAAGGUUGCCAUCAUGCUAAGUCACUGCAUGCAUUUCAUGACAUGAACACGAGCUUUGCAUACCAUUUCAGGCAGGACAGCGAUCACAGUGGAGUCACCGUUAGAGAAGCUGAGAGGUUCUUUGGAACAAACUACAGGCCAUGAAUAAGAGUAACAAGUGUGCCACCUCAUUAGAAGGUAGGGCAGUUCAGAGGACACCGAGCCCUGGACCAAAGGUUCAGGCCACAGCAUGCAUCACUGCAUUCCACACACCCUGCUUUGCCCCGGAGCUUGGAGGUAAAUCUGGAGAGAAGAAAGAGCCGUGGUUUUCUUUUCUUUUUUUUUUUUCCUUUUUUUCUUUUU